rnacentral:rRNA from 1 species
UACGUAGGUGGCAAGCGUUACUCGGAAUUACUAGGCGUAAAGCGCAGGUAGGUGGUGUGAUAAGUCCGUAAUGAAAUCUCCCGGCUUAACUGGGAGGGGUUUAGGGAUACUGUCAUGCUCGAGUGUGGGAGAGGUAACUGGAAUUCCUGGCGUAGCGGUGAAAUGCGUAGAGAUCAGGAGGAACACCGGUGGCGAAGGCGGCAUCCUGGACCAACACUGACACUGAGGAGCGAAAGCGUGGGGAGCGAACAGG